rnacentral:rRNA from 1 species
GACGAACGCUGGUGGCGUGCCUAAUACAUGCAAGUCGAGCGGACCAAUAGAAGCUUGCUUCUGUUGGUUAGCGGCGGGCGGGUGAGUAACACGUGGGCAACCUGCCUGUAAGACUGGGAUAACUUCGGGAAACCGGAGCUAAUACCGGAUAAUUCAUCCCCUCGCAUGAGGGGAUGCUGAAAGUCGGUUCACGCUGACACUUACAGAUGGGCCCGCGGCGCAUUAGCUAGUUGGUGAGGUAAUGGCUCACCAAGGCGACGAUGCGUAGCCGACCUGGGAGGGUGAUCGGCCAAACCGGACCGGAACCACGGCCCAGACUCCUACGGGGGGCGGCAGUAGGGAAUCUUCCAAAAUGGGUGAAAGACUGAUAGGGCAACGCCGGGGGAGUGAGGAAGGCCUUCGGGUCGUAAAGCUCGGUUGUUAGGAAAGAACAGGUAUCGGACAAAGCGCCGGUACCUUGACGGUACCUGACCAGAAAGCCACGGCUAACUACGUGCCAGCCGCCGCCGUAA